rnacentral:rRNA from 1 species
UCAGUCGACUCCUACGGGGAGCAGCAGUGGGGAAUAUUGCGCAAUGGGGGCAACCUGACGCAGCCAUGCCGCGUGAAUGAAGAAGGCCUUCGGGUUGUAAAGUUCUUUCGGUGAUGAGGAAGGGAGUUAUGUUAAUAGCAUAAUUCAUUGACGUUAGUCACAGAAGAAGCACCGGCUAACUCCGUGCCAGCAGCCGCGGUAAUACGGAGGGUGCGAGCGUUAAUCGGAAUAACUGGGCGUAAAGGGCACGCAGGCGGUGACUUAAGUGAGGUGUGAAAUCCCCGGGCUUAACCUGGGAAUUGCAUUUCAGACUGGGUCGCUAGAGUACUUUAGGGAGGGGUAGGAAUUCCACGUGUAGCGGUGAAAUGCGUAGAGAUGUGGAGGAAUACCGAAGGCGAAGGCAGCCCCUUGGGAAUGUACUGACGCUCAUGUGCGAAAGCGUGGGGAGCAAACAGGAUUAGAUACCCUGGUAG